UUUAUCGCUUCCCUACAUAUAUUAAACCACCAUCGGCAAACUGUUUGUCAGGUUGAGCUCGGUUUUCUGUGCUGCCGAAUACUACGAGACCAGUCAAAGCCUUUAUGGCAUAAUUAUGGCUUAUGUGCCCGGUUGUUGGCACAUAGCCGCUUUAUUGUUUUAAUCAAUUUUUAAUAAUUAACAAGAAAAAUUAUUAAUUAAUAACUAUAUAAUAUUUAGCACAGAAAAGGUGGGGGCAUUACUAACGCCCACUACACAUAACGUAUCUAUAUAAGUUCAACAUAUCGCGUCCAACAACGGGGAGGAGGGUGGGUAAUUCUCUUCCAUCCAAUUUCUUGAUGUGAACUGCAGCCCUCGUGGAAUAGGAAAGGACAGAUAGCCCGCUUCACCACUGAUAAAUACCGAAAUUUCCAGUCACGUGACUAUACCUAAAUUAACUUGCGCGCGCAAAUUACUUAUUUUCGCAUAAUUAAUUUCAACUAUAAAUUAUUCCGGGAAGCAAUAAAAACUCUUAUCGCUGUGGCAAUAAGUUCCUUUAUCGCUUCCCUACAUAUAUUAAACCACCAUCGGCAAACUGUUUGUCAGGUUGAGCUCGGUUUUCUGUGCUGCCGAAUACUACGAGACCAGUCAAAGCCUUUAUGGCAUAAUUAUGGCUUAUGUGCCCGGUUGUUGGCACAUAGCCGCUUUAUUGUUUUAAUCAAUUUUUAAUAAUUAACAAGAAAAAUUAUUAAUUAAUAACUAUAUAACAUUUAGCACAGAAAAGGUGGGGGCAUUACUAACACCACAAGUCUCCUUGGGAUAAAGGAGACACACCCCACCCCAACAUGACAAAUCGUUUGCAGAUGAUCGUGAAAAAAUAUCUACAUAUACUGAUACCAUAUGUUACGAAAACCUCAAUCUAUGUCAGUUUCACUGCACAUGCUAUUGUCAGUCAAAAGCAAUGAACUUGCACUGGUCUACAUAAUAGCAGUACUAUCAAUUACCUAGUUGACUAUAUACUAUAUACAAGCCUCUACUGAAAUAAAUAUGAUCAGCUGAAAUGUGAACUUUACCCCUGUGUCAGUUCAAUAUCCAACCGAUCACGAAUACGUGUCGCCAGAUGCGAUAAAAUACCAGUUUCUAGCGAAAUAACUAUCAUCAGCUGAAAUGUGAACCUUACCCCUGUGUCAGUUCAAUAUCCAACCGAUGACGAAUAAGUGUCGCCAGAGGCGAUAAAAUACCGUAUUAUACCAGUUUCUAGCGAAAUAAAUAUCAUCAGCUGAAAUGUAAACCUUACCCCUGUGUCGGUUCAACGUCCAGCGAUGACGAAAAAGUAAGAUAAAAUACCUAGGUAAUCGCCAGUUUCGGGCGAAAUAAACAUGCAUGAUCAGCUAAAAUGUGAACCUUACCCCUGUUUCAGUUCAACAUCCAGCCGGCAAUGACGUUUGAGAAAAACAAAACAUUUGUUGUACAUACUGUUAUUAACAAACUGGAUAAAUUAAAUUUAGAAACGUGAAUUGAGGUUAUAUAUAUGAUAGUCGAUCCGGAAUGACUGUUGGUGAUGAAUGAACAUUGGCCGAUGCAAGCUGUGUCAACGUAGAAACCUUUAUCCGAGAUACAGGAUUCCCUGAAACACUUUUUAAUCCCGAUAUGUGCCGCGAGUAUACGAAAUAAAGAUAUACUUAAUGCUAUUAAUUAAAAACAAGCAAGCACCAGUUUACGUACAAAUAUCAUAACAGUCGAAUCCCAAAAUGGAACCGAAUAGCCUUAUUAUAAUAUCAACCAAUGCAGCAUCAUCUGUUAAGAACGUUAUACGCUGAAUUACCACCGCCUCGCAAAUUGCCGAGUGCGAGUAGGGUAUAGCGACUAUGCUGGGCCGAUCGGAUGCAUUUUGUAAGAUCGUAUUAAAGAUCAACAAGCCGUCGUAACAAGGCACGACGUGGCACGACCACAUGCAAAACUAAAUUAAUUAAGCAAGGCAAUCGAGGAUUGGAUUACCUUUUUACGCAAGUGACUUAAUUUAAAUUCCGCAGUAAUAAAUAGCGCUGUCAU
rnacentral:lncRNA from 1 species